rnacentral:lncRNA from 1 species
AACAUAUGAUUAAAUAACAUAUCUGAAUGGAAAAAACACUGAAAGCCAUUAACACAUUUGCCAUACCAGUACCGACCUACUCAUUUGGAGUGAUGCAGUGGAUACAGACAGAACUAGAAUCACUCCAAAGGAAAAUACAAACAACACAUAUAAAAUACCAGUACCAUCACCUGAAAUCUGUCAUAGAAAAACUACUCUCUCACGCAAGGAAGGAGGACGUGGCCUUAUUGACAUCCCACAUUUACACAACAGAUAGAUUUAUAGUUUGAGAGAGUUCUUCCAUAAAAAACAACAUACAUUACAACUACACAAAGCUAUAGUCUUGGCAGAU